rnacentral:rRNA from 1 species
GGAGUUAGCCGGUGCUUCUUCUGUGAGUGAUGUCCUUCCUGCCGGCUAUUAACCCGCAGGCCUUCUUCCUCACUGAAAGUGCUUUACAACCCGAAGGCCUUCUUCACACACGCGGCAUGGCUGGAUCAGGGUUGCCCCCAUUGUCCAAUAUUCCCCACUGCUGCCUCCCGUAGGAGUCUGGGCCGUGUCUCAGUCCCAGUGUGGCUGAUCAUCCUCUCAGACCAGCUACGGAUCGUCGCCUUGGUGAGCCGUUACCUCACCAACCAGCUAAUCCGACAUAGGCUCAUCCGAUAGCGCGAGGCCCGAAGGUCCCCCGNUUUCCCCCGUAGGGCCGUAUGCGGUAUUAGCCUGGGGUUUCCCCCAGGGUUAUCCCCCCACUACCGGGGCAGAUUCCUAUGCAUUACUCACCCGUCCGCCGCUCGCCACCAGGGAGCAAGCUCCCCGUGCUGCCGCUCGACUUGCAUGUGUUAGGCCUGCCGCCAGCGUUCAAUCUGAGCCAGAAUCGAACCCUGA